GCUGCGAUGGCCGAGCGGUUAAGGCGUUGGACUUGAAAUCCAAUGUGAUCUUCACGCGUAGGUUCAAAUCCUACUCGCAGCG
rnacentral:tRNA from 1 species